rnacentral:rRNA from 1 species
AUUGAACGCUGGCGGCAGGCCUAACACAUGCAAGUCGAGCGGCAGCGCAAGGGAGUUUACUCCUGAGGCGGCGAGCGGCGGACGGGUGAGUAAUGCCUAGGGAUCUGCCCAGUCGAGGGGGAUAACAGUUGGAAACGACUGCUAAUACCGCAUACGCCCUACGGGGGAAAGGAGGGGACCUUCGGGCCUUUCGCGAUUGGAUGAACCUAGGUGGGAUUAGCUAGUUGGUGAGGUAAUGGC